CUCAAAAUCCUUUUCUUUUCCAAACACUUCGUCUCAAAACGAGACCGCAAACCCUCGAAACCGUCAUUUUGCAGAUAUGCUCUCUCUCUCUCUCUCUCUCUCUCUCUCUCUCAACCCUCGUCUCAAAUCUGGCCAUGAUCUUCUCAGUCGAGCAUCUCGUCAAUCGGCAGGUGAAAUCCAUCACAACUCAUCUCCAAAUCGUCGGUCACGGGCCUGAUUUCUAUGCCGGCUGUAGUAGCAAGAAGCAACACUCUGGUCUUGGGCAGCAUGAUUUGGAUGUACCUACGUGGGUCACUGCCAAGCUGGAGCGAAAUGGAUAUUGUAAGGCGCGGAACUAAUAUCCGUCGUGUGACCAUGGUAGACUGUUCUUUUAUGUCAGUUAAUAAUGACUUUAGAGGAGGUGGUGGAAUUCUAGAGAGGCUCUGGAGUUAUAUUUGAGUGUUGAAAAUGUGGCAAACCCGUUUGUUUAUUGUAUAUUCAGUAUUAUUUU